rnacentral:misc_RNA from 1 species
AAAGAUCGCAGCCUGCGGCAGCUCCUACAGGGGAAUUGCGUAACACCUGUAGGAGCUGCCGCAGGCUGCGAUCUUU